GUGAGGAAUAUUGGGCAAUGGGCGAAAGCCUGACCCAGCCACGCCGCGUGAGUGAUGAAGGCCUUCGGGUUGUAAAGCUCUGUGGGGAGGGAAGAAAAAGCGCAGGAGUAACUGCCUGUGUGUUGACGGUACCUCCUUAGCAAGCACCGGCUAACUCUGUGCCAGCAGCCGCGGUAAUACAGAGGGUGCAAACGUUGCUCGGAAUUACUGGGCGUCAAGCGCGUGUAGGCUGACAUGCAAGUCGGGUGUGAAAUCCCAGGGCUCAACCUUGGAACUGCACUCGAAACUGCACGUCUGGAGUACUGGAGAGGGAAGCGGAAUUCCGGGUGUAGAGGUGAAAUUCGUAGAUAUCCGGAGGAACACCAGUGGCGAAGGCGGCUUCCUGGACAGUAACUGACGCUGAGACGCGAAAGCGUGGGGAGCAAACAGGAUUAGAUACCCGUGUAGUCC
rnacentral:rRNA from 1 species